rnacentral:rRNA from 1 species
AUUGAACGCUGGCGGCAGGCUUAACACAUGCAAGUCGAGCGGGGAAGGGUAGCUUGCUACCUAACCUAGCGGCGGACGGGUGAGUAAUGCUUAGGAAUCUGCCAUUUAGUGGGGGACAACAUUCCGAAAGGAAUGCUAAUACCGCAUACGUCCUACGGGAGAAAGCAGGGGAUCUUCGGACCUUGCGCUAAAUGAUGAGCCUAAGUCGGAUUAGCUAGUUGGUGGGGUAAAGGCCUACCAAGGCGACGAUCUGUAGCGGGUCUGAGAGGAUGGUCCGCCACACUGGGACUGAGACACGGCCCAGACUCCUACGGGAGGCAGCAGUGGGGAAUAUUGGACAAUGGGCGGAAGCCUGAUCCAGCCAUGCCGCGUGUGUGAAGAAGGCCUUAUGGUUGUAAAGCACUUUAAGCGAGGAGGAGGCUACUUAGAUUAAUACUCUAGGAUAGUGGACGUUACUCGCAGAAUAAGCACCGGCUAACUCUGUGCCAGCAGCCGCAGUAA